AUCGUUCAAUCCUUUUUAGGGGUCGGAAGUAGGUAUCAUACUGAAGGAACGCGGA
rnacentral:ncRNA from 10 species